GACGAACGCUGGCGGCGUGCUUAACACAUGCCAGUCGAACGGAAAGGCCCUGCUUUUGUGGGGUGCUCGAGUGGCGAACGGGUGAGUAACACGUGAGUAACCUGCCCUUGACUUUGGGAUAACUUCAGGAAACUGGGGCUAAUACCGGAUAGGAGCUCCUGCUGCAUGGUGGGGGUUGGAAAGUUUCGGCGGUUGGGGAUGGACUCGCGGCUUAUCAGCUUGUUGGUGGGGUAGUGGCUUACCAAGGCUUUGACGGGUAGCCGGCCUGAGAGGGUGACCGGCCACAUUGGGACUGAGAUACGGCCCAGACUCCUACGGGAGGCAGCAGUGGGGAAUAUUGCACAAUGGGCGGAAGCCUGAUGCAGCAACGCCGCGUGCGGGAUGAAGGCCUUCGGGUUGUAAACCGCUUUCGACUGUGACGAAGCGUGAGUGACGGUAAUGGGUAAAGAAGCACCGGCUAACUACGUG
rnacentral:rRNA from 1 species